rnacentral:lncRNA from 1 species
AUGGACGAGGACGUGCUGACCACCCUGAAGAUCCUCACCAUCGGCGAGAGUGGCGUGGGCAAACCCAGCCUGCUCUUGAGGUUCACAGAUGAUACUUUUGAUCUAGAACUUGCAGCAACAAUAGGUAAGCCUGUGUUUAAAAAUUCAGUAGAAAUGCCAAGUAUUUUCUUGCCUUUGGGCUGUUUUGUCUAACUCCCCCUACCCGUCCUCUCACCACCCCAUUGCUUCCAUGCCUCUUGAAAUCUUAUUUGUCUUUCAAGUCUUAAAUUUGGUGUCAUUAAAUUUCCAAAGCCUUUGUAGAGCUAACCAAGCAAGAAUAGCUUCCUUUUCUGUUGGGUCAUAGUACUUUGUUAACCCUGCAGAUAUUAUAAUUAUCUGUAUACAUGUUCCUGUGCUGUGGAUUGUAUUUUAUUUAGCAGCAUACAGUUAUUUGAAUGUUUAUUGUAUGACAGGCACUGUCCUGAGAGGUGGGUUAUAAUGAUCAAUAAUACAGACUUGGUCUCUAUCGUACUGGACCAGCAGUAUCACCAACAAUGGAGUGUGUUGACUUUAUAUUUUAAGGAUUCGAUGAAGGAUCUGGCAUGUAUUCUGAACCCAACAUAUUUAUUGAUAUUAGCUAUUAAUGAUUGUUAGAAGAGUAAUACCUAAAUGCCUUUUAAAAAUGUAGUUUAGAUUGCCUGAAAGUGCUUUGAGGAGCUCCCAUUGUGGCACAGUGGAAACAAAUCUUGACUACGAACCUUGAAGUUGCAGGUUCAGUCCCUGGCCUUGCUCAUUGGGUUAAGGAUCUGGUGUUGCCCUGAGCUGCGGUGUAGGUCGCAAACACGGCUCAGAUCCCACAUUCCUGUGGCUGUGGCUGUGGCAUAGGCUGCGGCCAUAGCUCCCAUUGGACCCCUAGCCUGGGAACCUCCAUUUGCUGUGGGUGUGACCCUAAAAAGAAAAAAAAAAGGUGCUUUGACACACCAGCUUAUUAGCAUAUAUGAGAAGACAGAGCUAAAUAUUUGGAUAUCACAUGUUUAGGGAGCAGAUGACAACAUACAGAUACAAGAGACAGCUUGCAGUAAUAGAAGGAGCUGAGUCAGAGCGGGAUGAUAGUCUUGGCUCUGCCUUGAAUGUUGUCAUCUUGAGCAAGUCUCUAACUCCAUUGUCUUCAUCUGCAAGUUAGGAAUUUGGGUGAGAGAAUACAUUUUUUUUC